AGCGCCGAAGUGUUAGCCGCUUCAACUUAUUCAUCUGUACUUGGGACCCUUACUUCCCUGUUCCUCGUACUUCGUGCAUCUCAAAAAACCCCUUCUAAACCCCACAAGGAACCUCAGCCAAAAAAAAAAAAAAGAGAGAGAGAGGUGUAAUUUUGAAACUUGUCUCUAAAGAGGAAACAAAAGAAAGACAAAUAAAAUGGAACUGUCCAAUGUAAGAAAAUUGUACUUUUUUUCACUGUCUCUCAGUCCCUUUGAAGACCCUUUACCAAAUUAGAUUUUGGAACAACCAAAGUUCAUGGCCAUGGCAUUGCCACAACAUUCUUUGGGAAGGUGGUUUUUUCUCUCCCAAAGGCGAGAUGGAGAAGUGGGAGUAACGCUUGCUUUAACGGUUUUAAAAUUUUCAUUUUGUAAACCUAGUCGAGCUUGCUAUCAUGCUGUCCUGAAGUAUGUGAACUCAUAAGUACAUUGUUACUUACGUUGGGAAUGAAGCCAUCGGUCCGCGCAGCAUAAGCAUAUCAUUCUUUGUAUCAUUUUGACAAAUACAUGUAGUUGGAUCCAUAGUGCAUGGAUUUCUUUUUGAAUAUUAAAGCUACUGAGUUUUGUAUUUGAAGAUAUUUACCUAUCAAUUCUUCUGGAUUCCAAAUUUCAAUCCAGAAUCACUGCCAAUUA